GACGAACGCUGGCGGCGUGCUUAACACAUGCAAGUCGAACGAAGAGCGAUGGAAGCUUGCUUCUAUCAAUCUUAGUGGCGAACGGGUGAGUAACGCGUAAUCAACCUGCCCUUCAGAGGGGGACAACAGUUGGAAACGACUGCUCAUACCGCAUACGAUCUAAUCUCGGCAUCGAGGAUAGAUGAAAGGUGGCCUCUACAUGUAAGCUAUCACUGAAGGAGGGGAUUGCGUCUGAUUAGCUAGUUGGAGGGGUAACGGCCCACCAAGGCGAUGAUCAGUAGCCGGUCUGAGAGGAUGAACGGCCACAUUGGGACUGAGACACGGCCCAGACUCCUACGGGAGGCAGCAGUGGGGAAUCUUCCGCAAUGGACGAAAGACUGACGGAGCAACGCCGCGUGAGUGAUGACGGCCGUCGGGUUGUAAAGCUCUGUUAAUCGGGACGAAAGGCCUUCUUGCGAAUAGGGAGAAGGAUUGACGGUACCGGAAGAGAAAGCCACGGCUAACUACGUG
rnacentral:rRNA from 1 species